AGUGAACGCUGGCGGUAGGCCUAACACAUGCAAGUCGAACGGCAGCACAGUAAGAGCUUGCUCUUACGGGUGGCGAGUGGCGGACGGGUGAUGAAUACAUCGGAAUCUACUUUUUCGUGGGGGAUAACGUAGGGAAACUUACGCUAAUACCGCAUACGACCUACGGGUGAAAGCAUGGGACCUUCCGCCCUUGCGCGAUUCAAUGAGCCGAUGUCGGAUUAGCUAGUUGGCGGGGUAAAGGCCCACCAAGGCGACGAUCCGUAGCUGGUCUGAGAGGAUGAUCAGCCACACUGGAACUGAGACACGGUCCAGACUCCUACGGGAGGCAGCAGUGGGGUAUAUUGGACAAUGGGCGCAAGCCUGAUCCAGCCAUACCGCGUGGGUGAAGAAGGCCUUCGGGUUGUAAAGCCCUUUUGUUGGGAAAGAAAAGCAGCAGGUUAAUACCCCGCUGUUCUGACGGUACCCAAAGAAUAAGCACCGGCUAACUUCGUG
rnacentral:rRNA from 1 species